rnacentral:rRNA from 1 species
UACGUAGGGUGCGAGCGUUAAUCGGAAUUACUGGGCGUAAAGCGUGCGCAGGCGGUUUUGCAAGUCCGAUGUGAAAUCCCCGGGCUUAACCUGGGAAUGGCAUUUGGGACUGCAAGGCUCGAGUGCGGCAGAGGAGACUGGAAUUCCUGGUGUAGCAGUGAAAUGCGUAGAUAUCAGGAGGAACACCGAUGGCGAAGGCAGGUCUCUGGGCUGACACUGACGCUCAUGCACGAAAGCGUGGGGAGCAAACAGG